rnacentral:miRNA from 1 species
GGCGGGCUGCGCAUGGUGCACGUGGCCUCCCUGCAGGUGCCAGCCCCGCCCUUCCCUG